UGAUGUUUUAAGCUGUCUUUUGCAUGAUGGGAAAAUCAACGGUCGUAGAAUGUAAUGCUCUGCAGGUGCCUAUAUCGGACUAGAGCAACCAAAUUUGUCGCUUAAAUUUCUUCUCGCCUAUCAGUCAUGUCAAGCACAAUGCGGUCUCUCGAUGAAGUACAAGGUGAAGUUGCCCAAUUGAGGAUUUGGAUUUUGGUAAAAUAAGAAACGGCCAAUAUGCCUCGUCUUCUGGGAACACAACAAUGAUCGGAAAGAUGAUUUCUUCGUUUUCAUGGUCUGUAAGAAGUUGAAAAGCUAUAGUCCACCGACUUUACAGCUGCUGCGAGGAGUUUCAAAGUGGUUCUGGGAAAAUGUAAAGCUGAUGUGCAGCAAUUAGAACUGUGGAAAAAUUAUCGGCUUAUUUAGAAUAGACAAAGAAAAGCAAAUAUGUAGUGAAUAGAAAUUUCUCUAAUUUUGAUGUUCCAAAAAAACUCCAAAUUUUCACUUAGGCUUCAAAAGUUUUGGAUAUACGGAUCACCUUGGCUUGUCGAAGAAGCCCCAAGCUAUUGCUAUGAAUGCACAGCCUGCAAAAUAAGACCACUCAUUUUCACAAAUGUAAAAAGAGACCUAUUGAAGUCGACUUUCUUGCACCGACUGAACCAUAAAGCUCUGCUUUUGACAUCUGUGCUUGUGACGAAGUACCGGACAGAUUAAAGGUCGAAAUGCCAUUUAAAAUGGAAAGUCUUGUCAAGAGGUCUUGGUAAAAUUAUGAACUGAUGCUUGUUUAUUUUGACGAUAUUCUUUAAAAUUGUUUUAAGCAUAAGUAUUUCGUGCAUUCCUGGAGUAGUUAACCAUUCCUUAGAUCAAGCGACACAAACUAAAUAAAAACUGAGGCAUUGGAUGUGGUAUCGGAUGAGUUUCAAAUUGUGUCAACCCACGCUUGGAGAUCUCUAUAUAAAUCAUUCUGCCAGUAA